UAUUACUUACUACUACAUAACAUAAUAAAACAUCAAAUAAUGUUAUUCACAAAUAAAUACUGACCACAUAAUCACAUCAUCUUUUUUUUUUGGCAACAAUGAAGAACUAAGUAACGAAACCACCCGAUUCAGUAAACAAAACCGGUGGGGAAGAAUUGACAUAAAGCAUAGCUGAAGAAGAACUCCUUGCAUCUCGUGCAAGCUUGUCCGCCAAAAUGUUUUGUGCUCUUGAUAUAUGUCUGAUUCGGAAGUCAGGGAAAAAAGUCUUACUGUGAAUAAAUUCUUCCAUAUGUGUAGAGAAAGCUGACCAUUCUUCAGGUGUCGACACCAUCUUCACCAAUUGAGAACAAUCCG
rnacentral:lncRNA from 1 species